rnacentral:rRNA from 1 species
GAUAAACGCUGGCGGUGUACAUAAGACAUGCAAGUCGAACGGGAGAAGACAGGAAGAUUUAUCUACUUGUUGGACACCGUGGCGGACGGGUGAGUAACACGUAAGCAACCUGCCUAUAAGAGGGGAAUAACAGUGAGAAAUUACUGAUAAUACCGCAUAAGCUGGAGGUAUCGCAUGAUACAUUCAGAAAAGAUUUAUCGCUUAUAGAUGGGCUUGCGUCUGAUUAGCUAGUUGGUGAGAUAACAGCUCACCAAGGCGACGAUCAGUAGCCGGAUUGAGAGGUUGAACGGCCACAUUGGGACUGAGACACGGCCCAGACUCCUACGGGAGGCAGCAGUCGGGAAUAUUGCACAAUGGAGGAAACUCUGAUGCAGUGACACCGCGUAUAGGAAGAAGGUCUUAGGAUUGUAAGCUAUUGUCGUGUGAGAAGAAA